AGCGAACGCUGGCGGCAGGCUUAACACAUGCAAGUCGAACGCUCACCUUCGGGUGGGAGUGGCAGACGGGUGAGUAACACGUGGGAACGUGCCCUUCGGUUCGGAAUAACCCUGGGAAACUAGGGCUAAUACCGGAUACGUCCGAGAGGAGAAAGGUUUACUGCCGAAGGAUCGGCCCGCGUCUGAUUAGCUAGUUGGUGGGGUAACGGCCUACCAAGGCGACGAUCAGUAGCUGGUCUGAGAGGAUGAUCAGCCACACUGGGACUGAGACACGGCCCAGACUCCUACGGGAGGCAGCAGUGGGGAAUAUUGGACAAUGGGCGCAAGCCUGAUCCAGCCAUGCCGCGUGAGUGAUGAAGGCCUUAGGGUUGUAAAGCUCUUUUGUCCGGGACGAUAAUGACGGUACCGGAAGAAUAAGCCCCGGCUAACUUCGUGCCAGCCGCCGCCGUAACAC
rnacentral:rRNA from 1 species